CCGGCCGGCCCGCGCCAGGCUCCUCGCCGCUACGGCCAUCGCGCUCCGCGGGGCUGGCAAGGCAGGGGCGGGGCUGCGGCCGACGCCCCAGCACGGAUUGGCCCGGCGCGCCCCGCGGGCGAGCGGGAGAACGGAGUUCUAAUGACAGCACAUUUUCCUCAUGUUGAAAAGGCAGCAACACAGUCAAAUCAUUCUGCAAAAAGAACAGGCAGGGCUGGCCCUAGACCAAAUGGCACCACAGUGAAUAUGAGUUUCCUUGAAGACAGGUUAAGUUUUCCGCCCUUUCUUUGGCAGCAGUGACGGCAUCUUCAAAUCCAUUGUCUCUGAAGGCCACAACGAAAUCAAGGCAGCUUCUCAUCAAAGUAGUAGGGGUUUGAUAACUAUUUCUGGCAUCUCAUUAAAUAUGUCCUUUUUCAGUUGUUACUUACACUCUUCAAGACUUAAAACAUAA